AUUAGUGUUACAAAAGGCCAUUAGAACGGAUCGAGAAGAUGAAGGCAAGCUGAACAGGAGGACAAACCAUCUACCAGUACUUGGAUUCUUGCACCGAAAUCAACACAGUACUACCUUAUGAAGAAGCUGGCUUCUCUCCCUUCCCUGCCGGUGAUGACGGCGAUCAUCCUGGCCGUCGCCAUCUCCUGCUCCGUCGUCGUCCACUGCUCGGAGGCCCGAGCCCAAGCAGAUGCGGCCGUGCCUCACCCGGACGGAGACCAUCAGGGGCAGGUGCCGCCGGCGCCGCAGGGCAAGACGCCGAUACAGCCGCAGCCGCCGUGCUGCGAACGGCCAGGCGUGUAACAUCCGAGAUCAAGACGGAGCCUGCGACAUCACGAUUAUCAUCUGGACAUCCGGUGACCUCUUCCUCUGGUCCUACUGCUAAGAACUGGCCAGUGGCCACACCACAAGGCUGCGGACGUGGAGUGAAAAGAUAGAUCAUGUACUAGGCUAUAGCUGAUUGGUACCUCUCCUUUGUCUUUUUUUUUUGAAAUAAUGGUACCUCCCCUUUGUCUC